rnacentral:piRNA from 1 species
UUGAUAAGUGAGGUGUACUUC